GAUGAACGCUGGCGGCGUGCCUAAUACAUGCAAGUCGAGCGAACGGACGAGAAGCUUGCUUCUCUGAUGUUAGCGGCGGACGGGUGAGUAACACGUGGAUAACCUACCUAUAAGACUGGUAUAACUUCGGGAAACCGGAGCUAAUACCGGAUAAUAUUUUGAACCGCAUGGUUCAAAAGUGAAAGACGGUCUUGCUGUCACUUAUAGAUGGAUCCGCGCUGCAUUAGCUAGUUGGUAAGGUAACGGCUUACCAAGGCAACGAUGCAUAGCCGAGCUGAGAGGGUGAUCGGCCACACUGGAACUGAGACACGGUCCAGACUCCUACGGGAGGCAGCAGUAGGGAAUCUUCCGCAAUGGGCGAAAGCCUGACGGAGCAACGCCGCGUGAGUGAUGAAGGUCCUCGGAUCGUAAAACUCUGUUAUUAGGGAAGAACAUAUGUGUAAGUAACUGUGCACAUCUUGACGGUACCUAAUCAGAAAGCCACGGCUAACUACGUG
rnacentral:rRNA from 1 species